CUCGCUGCUGAGCAAAAUGGACGCCUUUGUGUCUGUUUUCUUCAUAUUAAUACUAUAAAUAAAAUUUACGCUAUGUUUAGGUAACUCUAAUCAUGGAUGUUUACCAACUUGUACUAAUAAUUUAAGUUAAUUAUGUGUUGUGUUCUAAUAAUGGGUGUUUAUCUUUGUUAUUGAUAAAAUAAAGACUUAUGAUCAAGUAGGCCACAGCUACGGAUGACAAUUGACUGAAUAUCAUAGUCAUAAAAAAACCAUUCCAAAAGGAUUAUUCAUUUUGUAGCCUCCCGCCAAAAUUUUAAUACAACUUUUAUUUUGUUGGCGUAAAUAUUAAUUAAUAAUUGUGGGAUAAUUAAAUAUUUAAAAUAAAAUGAACCUUUUAUUACAAGAUCCAAGAGCAUCAUCUAAAUUUGGUUGAUAUAAAAACGAUCAUUAUGGGAACUUGAAAGAAAAAAAACUGCAUAGUUCCCAAAAUUAAACUUAGUGAUAGUGUUUAAUGGACCAGAUACUUCCAGUGACAUAGUGUUGGUGCUUUAUAAAAAAAAAUAACAAAAUAGAAACAAACAUAGAUAAACAAAUCGGCAAGUUGUGACAAUGUAUUCUAUAAAAAAUUGGCGAAAAUACGCGUUCAACAACAUCAAAACAAUUAUCUUGAUAAAAACUCAUUACUUAUUGUGAAAACCAUAAUCGCGAAAAUAUUUUAUAAAAUAGUGUAAUAAUAAUAAUACUAUUAUUAUUAUUA